AAUACUUUUUCCCUCUAAAAGUGAGGGGAAAAAAUAUCGUCUGCUGCUACUGAAAAUCGGAAUUUGCUCAGCCGACGACGAAACGAUUUUUCCUGCGAAAUAAAGAGUCGUUAUCUGUUUGUUGCGAAUGAGAAUUUGGAAAUGAAAUGUGCUUAACGCGAUUAUUCAUCAACAUUUAUAUAUAAGAAAAGUAUUGAGAAGGACAUGUUUCACGUCUGAUAAUGGCGUCAGUUAACCGGAUCAGUGAAGGUUGGGAGAGUGACUGUGCUCCGGUCCAAUUUCAAUGGAUGAAAAUAAAUUAAUAUCUAUUUAGAAAAAAUUACAUUUGAGUUUUAAAAAGUUAGGGGAAGAUGAAAAAUUAACAGAGCAGAGAAGAAACCAGAAUCUCUUCAAGUGCAAAACUUGUUUUAAUCAACUAAAACAAAAAGGUAAUUUUUUAGUUUUGUAUUGUAUUGUUUUAUAAUUUUUUUUAAACAUAUUCACAGACUGAGCAAUAAUAACUUUAUAAAAUAGCUUAAAUAGUUCUCAGCACUUUUAUACCCUCAUUACCUAUACAUAAAAAUUCUAAUGAAGUAACAAGAAAGAUGAAUCUCUAAAUUAUAACUAGUUUUUAUGAUUAAAAAAAAUCAAGGUCAAAAUCUAAGACUGCAUUUAAAACUGAACACAAAACUGCAUGGAAACGCUGCAGACAAACAGGUUAAAAAAUACACGGUACGGUGGGGAAGUCCCUUUUAUUGGGACGCUCUUAGCCCGAAGGCGAUUUCUUACAAGUGGCACGCAAAACUGUGAUUUUUUUUUAAAUUUAACGACCCAAAGAAGGCGGACCGAUCGAUCAAAUCGAGUAAUUACUGUUGAAGAAAAUAAAAGACGAGAAGACGACUUAUCAGUAAACUCAGUUUCAUCUCCGCGCAACUCGUUUCGGAUUGAUCAGUAUCAUCAAACACAGAAUGAUAUUUAGGUACUAAACGAAUGCACACUUGUCACAAUACUCGACGUAAUAUUAUCUUACUAGGUUACUAGGGUGACAAAACAACUCGGUUAUCGCCCUUUUAUCCCCAAAGGGUCUUUGUUUCAUAUUCCUCCAGUUAAAAUAUUCACCAU